rnacentral:lncRNA from 1 species
UAUUAUUUAGAGGGCGGGACUGAAACUGAAAUGAACAAGGCGCGGCCAAGAAUCCCCUUCACACGUGCAGACAAAGAGCGCCAACAACACAACCCAAAUAUGCACUUUUAAACUUUUUCAAACGCAAUGGACGACUUCCACGAACAUUGGAAAUGCAACGGUGGGUUGAAACUUGUUUUAUUUGGAAAGCUUUUUUUUCGGGAGGCCUAAAUUGGAAAAAGGACCUUGGAGCCGUACCUUUACAACAGGAUUUUAGCUGCAGGUCCUUUGAAUAACCAUCUACACUGUGGUGGAUUUACCCGCGACCCGGACCGGACUCAUGGAAUCGGAAUUGGAUUAUAUCUGCAGGCGCACAUCACAACAAAGACUCUCCAAAUUGGAUAGGCGUCUCAUCGGACCCUCAAGGACAACAUGGCAAGACUGAAGCUGGACAGCGUCCCUGAAAUGUGGGGGAGGGGGUUGAGGACUGAACGAUGAUGUUGCGCAUUGAAGGCCUUGUAUAUGAUUACAUUGACUGAUUUACACGCAUCUGUUCACAUUGCUGCCAUUUAUAGAUUACGUUAUUACAUUUAUUAUCCACCAGACAAUUCGCCUGGAGAGAGAAAGAGAGAGAGAGGGAGAGGGAGAAGUUACCUCACUAUACAACCCUUAUCCUCAAUGAUGUCAUUGAGAGCCAAUGAAAAGAUGCGAGGGGGGGCUCGGUAGAAUUCAGGCAAAGCCCCCGCCCCCUACGGCGCUCAUGGAACCACACAUGCACACACCGUGUUGCCAUAGUAGUCCUCGGCAGUAUCACAUUUUUGCCACACUGCAUUGCGAUAAAGUGGGGGGAGAAUAGGCUACGCGAAGCACAUGCCCGUUAUAAGGCUAUUUUCGUUGCAGCUUCUGCUUGUUGUAAAUGUCG